rnacentral:hammerhead_ribozyme from 1 species
AUACUUCUGACGAGUCUCAGAUAGGACGAAACGCGCGUCCUGGAU